CAGAAAUAGCCAUCAGCAUGCUUUAUAUCACAUGUUGGAGGAGGAAAGAUUUGUGUCCUCUUUGCCUUAUGAUAAGUAAAGGAAACUUGAGGAAAAACAGUUAACGAUUUUUAGAUAUGUCUCCUAGGAUUUGAGGAAGAUAGUGAUUAAUAUUUGACUUAUGUUGAAAAAUGAUAAACGCACAUCCUGGCUUGAUUUGUCAAACAGAGAGGGGGCAUAGGCUAUCUAUCUACUAACAACAGGAUCAAAGCAUACAAUCUGGAGAUUGGAAGUAGAUUUCCUAUAAGAGAGUGAGGCUCCCUUAUUUGAGAGAGAAUGAGAGAAUCUACCCAAGAGGCCUGUCUGCUAGGAAAGAUCCCCAUAAAAGGAGAUUCCAUGCACCAUAGGACCUUACAACAGGAGAAAGAGGAAAGUGUUAAGAGCAAUUGAGAGCAGCCAGACCCAGAGAAAUAGGUAGCACUGUGGACUGCUAUCAGAUGUUCCUGAAGAGAGUUUCCAGGAAAUCACAAACAUCAGACAGGUAGGACCAGCAGGUGUACAUGAGUUACCCUCAGAGGGCCAUCACUAUGUGUGACUGUCCAGCCUUGGAAGACCACACCUAUCACCGCAGUCAUAUUCUCCUCAAACAGCUAACUCUAGAGCUCUAAGGAGGAGAAGUUGAUUCCACCACUUGAACUGGAGAAAAGUAGACAUUCUGGAUUAGAAAAUGGUCUGAGAUAGUAAUAGUAGCCUAUAUGAGCAGAGAAGGUAUGGCACCUGGUGAAAUUUCAAUACUGAGGAUGAAAUGUUGGUAGAAUAACAGUCAACUGCUUUUCCAUUGCAUCCUGCUGGGUCUGAUUUAUUGAAUGCCCCAAGUGGAUUGUGUCUUCUCCGAGAACUGUUCUGUAGAAAUAUGUAAUACAAAUGGACCCUAACAGUGGAGAUGAUUUCAAGUAACAGUGGCGGAAAGCUAUUCGAUGCCAUGACUGAAUCAUGAUGCAAAUAAGAUGGCUGAGGAAAGGACGUUUUAAAGUAGCUGUUGGGAAUCCUUGACGCCUGUUGCUUUUAGCAGAAAUGUUUAUUCUUCUUUAUGGUCCGUCUCUCCAUUAAUGCAAAAUUCCUGCCACAAAAAUGCACAUCUUUGUGUCAGUUUAAUGUAAAUCAAGAUUAUGACACUGAAAUUCCACCUGUUUGAAAAAGGAA